GACGAACCACACAAAACGUUAUUCGGAAUUACUGGGCCUAAAGGGUGCGUAGGCGGCGCAGAAAAGUAGGGUGUGAAAUCCCUCGGCUCAACCGAGGAACUGCGCCCCUAAACUACUGUGCUCGAGGGAGGUAGAGGUGAGCGGAACUUAGGGUGGAGCGGUGAAAUGCGUUGAUAUCCUAAGGAACACCGGUGGCGAAAGCGGCUCACUGGACCUCUUCUGACGCUGAGGCACGAAAGCUAGGGUAGCGAACGGG
rnacentral:rRNA from 1 species